AGCGAACGCUGGCGGCAGGCCUAACACAUGCAAGUCGAACGAUCCUUCGGGAUAGUGGCGGACGGGUGAGUAACACGUGGGAACGUACCUUUAAGUGCGGGAUAACUCAGGGAAACUUGAGCUAAUACCGGAUGUGCCCUUCGGGGGAAAGAUUUAUCGCCUUUAGAGCGGCCCGCGUUAGAUUAGCUAGUUGGUGAGGUAAAGGCUCACCAAGGCUCCGAUCUAUAGCUGGUCUGAGAGGAUGAUCAGCCACACUGGGACUGAGACACGGCCCAGACUCCUACGGGAGGCAGCAGUGGGGAAUCUUGCGCAAUGGGCGAAAGCCUGACGCAGCCAUGCCGCGUGAAUGAUGAAGGUCUUAGGAUUGUAAAAUUCUUUUAGCAGGGACGAUAAUGACGGUACCUGCAGAAAAAGCCCCGGCUAACUUCGUGCCAGCAGCCGCGGUAA
rnacentral:rRNA from 1 species